ensembl:snoRNA U3 Small nucleolar RNA U3
AAGACUAUACUUUCAGGGAUCAUUUCUAUAGUGUGUUACUAGAGAAGUUUCUCUGAACGUGUAGAAAAAAAAUUACUUUGUCAAGAACCACUGAAUAGUGGAAGU